AACGGGAUGGCUUUUCAUUAGUGUAAAGAGCUUUUGGAAUAAGAGCUGGGCAAGACCGGUGCCAGCCGCCGCGGUAACACCGGCAGCUCUAGUGGUAGCAAUUUUUAUUGGGCCUAAAGCGUCCGUAGCCGGUUUAAUAAGUCUCUGGUGAAAUCCUGUAGCUUAACUGUGGGAAUUGCUGGAGAUACUAUUAGACUUGAGACCGGGAGAGGUUAGAGGUACUCCCAGGGUAGAGGUGAAAUUCUGUAAUCCUGGGAGGACCGCCUGUUGCGAAGGCGUCUAACUGGAACGGUUCUGACGGUGAGGGACGAAAGUUAGGGGCGCGAACCGGAUUAGAUACCCGGGUAGUCCUAACUGUAAACGAUGCGGACUUGGUGUUGGGGUGGCUUUGAGCUGCUUCAGUGCCGAAGGGAAGCUGUUAAGUCCGCCGCCUGGGAAGUACGGUCGCAAGACUGAAACUUAA
rnacentral:rRNA from 1 species